rnacentral:rRNA from 1 species
UACCAGCACCCCGAGCGGUCGGGACGUUUAUUGGGCCUAAAGCAUCCGUAGCCGGUUCUACAAGUCUUCCGUUAAAUCCACCUGCUUAACAGAUGGGCUGCGGAAGAUACUAUAGAGCUAGGAGGCGGGAGAGGCAAGCGGUACUCGAUGGGUAGGGGUAAAAUCCGUUGAUCCAUUGAAGACCACCAGUGGCGAAGGCGGCUUGCCAGAACGCGCUCGACGGUGAGGGAUGAAAGCUGGGGGAGCAAACAGG